AAAUGUAAGAAGAAUUAAUUUAUUCUGGUCUUCUCUGCCUCUAUCUUUCUUCUAAAUAUUUUGUUUUUUAAAAUUUAUUUAUUUUGAGAGAGAGAGAGAGCACAUGCCAGCAGAGGAGGAGCCAAGAGAGAAGGAGAGAGAGAGAAUCCCAAGCAGGCUUCAUGCUGUCAGCUCAAAGCCUGACACUGGGUUCAAGUUCACCCAUCAUGGGUUCAUGACCUGAGAUGAGAUUAAGAGCCCCAUGCUUAACGGAACCAAGCCACCCAGGUGCCCUUCUCUUUCAAAUCUUAAAUUUCAAGUUUCUCUGCCAUCUUUCCUUAAACUGCCACCUCUGCCUGGUAAAACUGUAGAUGUUUAACACUCAUGCUGUGGUGAGGUGGGAUCAAAAUUUCCCCAGGAAACAAGGCCGCUAAUAGCCAUUCUUACCCAAUGUGGUGGUAAUUUUUCCAGAAGUAAACACUAUUCAAAGACUUAUCUACUUUUGGUCAUUUUCCAGUGCCCUAAAAAAUUUGUCUUAAAUAAUCCUGUCAUGUUUUAUUCUUUUUUUCUCAGAGAGGGAUCAGCCAACAACAUCAUGCCAUUACUGAAAGUAAACUUUCUGUAAACUAUUGGAUUUUAUAGCACACUUGAAGAAUGAACAGUCUUAAAAGAAAAAUGCUUUGGGAUUUUUGUUCUCAUUAUUUUUGAUUACGUGUGUAAUAAAAAAGCUGAAAAAGAGCACAUUUUAAAGCUCCCACUCAAACAAUUGGAAUUCCCUAGAUGGUAAGAGGAAUCAUGCCAAGGAAAACCCAGGACAGAUUUCAGAGAAGGAUAAACACAGAAGCAGAAAGUCAACCACUUAAGAAAUGCUUCUGUACUGGAGACCAACUUUCCUCUCCAGCCCCUUCGGCGAGUCACUUAACUUUUCUGAAGCUGAGCUCUCUUCUGUAAAACCAAGACAAUAAAGCAAGUCUCUGAAGACCACAAGACCACAAAUCACCUCUGGUGAUUUCUUUAAGCUCAAGCUCAAUGGCAAAGAGGAGUUACUUAAAACAUUUGAUUGUUAAUAUCACCCCUUUUUAAACCAUAUUUUAAAGUCUGGCCCAAUAUUGAUGGUUGAUGUUUCUUCUCAGUUGUCUAUUAAUAUUGUUUCUAUUGUCAAACUUCCCAGUGUGCUCAGUUUUGAUCUCGAAUGCCAGAUACUAUGAAAAAGGGACUAUUUGAAAGGAGGAAGGAUAAUGGUUCUUUUUAGGACUCUGCCAGCAUUCAUAAGAACAACAGUGGGUAAAUUAUUCCAAAAACAAUUUGAAAUAAUUUAAAGAGAUGACAUAUUGAUAUUGAAAACCCAAUACUUCCUUCAAAAAUCACAUGAUAGGAGUGUUUUAUUGACCUGAAUUAGACUACUCAAUAUGUGGUACUAUGCCCUUGGAGGCAAUAGGAAAGGAGAAUCUUUUGUGUAGUAUCAGUUGUUCUCAAUUCUGUGCUCCCGUAUUUAGCUAAGUCAUGAUUUCUGCUUUAAUUAAUUUCUGCCAAGCAGAGAUUAUUGCCACUCAUAUUAUGGCAAUAACACCUGUCAUGACUUAACACCUGUCAACACUGCCGUUCAUCUGAAAAAAAAAGGGGAGUGCUGGAUGCCUAUAUGGCUGACAUACUUCUCUAAUUAUCACAUUUCCUAUUCUAUGGUAGGAUUCAAAUCUCUGUCUUCCCCUUGAAUAAUCAUAAUGUCCAUUCAAAUGAAAAAGGACAAGGGCUCACAUGGUAUAUAUAGGCUCCAAGUUAAAUAUUUAGCAUUCACAUCAAGAUUUACAGAAAGCCUUAAUUACCCUCUAGUAUCCAGGGCAUUCCUAACUUAUGCUUCUGAUAAAUGCUCGAUGCAGGUUUUUGAUAGCCCACUGGUCAAUAAAAGGUU